AGCUUUGCACAGUGGCAGUAUCGUAGCCAAUGAGGUUUAUCCGAGGCGCGAUUAUUGCUAAUUGAAGAGAAAAUGUGCUACAGUGGGAAAAACGUAAUUUUGGAGUUAUAACAAUAGA
ensembl:snRNA U4 U4 spliceosomal RNA